ensembl:lncRNA
UUUCUUUCUUUUGCUCUUAUUUGUCAUAUGUUGUUAAAGCAAUGUUUUCUUUAUAAAGUUUGUUUUCUCAAGUUUCUGUGCCAUUUUACUAUCUACAUGAGUGUAUUUUUUUAUUUUAUAAGAGCUUUGAACACUUCAGUGGUGUUUUAUCAUUUUAGAAAAGAAAACAUUAAAGCACAAUAGUUUUCCCAAACAAAUCUUCUUACCUUUGUUAGAAGACCAUUAUUUCCUAAUCCAGUAAAGGUGUUUCGCCCUGCUGAACAGAAGUAAGGUGUCGUUUUCAUUCAGGUUAAAAUAAAGGCAGAAAGGUUGGCUGUGGCUGAAUCUACUCGACUCUCAUAUUUGGUACACAAGUUCAAGAUGCAUCUUUUGGACUUUUGAUGUGUUAAAAUAGUUUGCUUACAUAGCAACCUAAAAAGCUGAGUGAACAAACCAUGAACAGGAAAUGCGGAGCUUUCAAUCAUUAAUUCAACUAAUUAUUUUGCAUCACAUCAGAUAUUGCUUUAUGAUGAUACUGUUUUGUUUUUCUUAUUAUUGUAGCCUCAUAAGUUUCUCUUUGUAUUUGGUUUGGGGUUUGUUUUUUUAAUUUUUGGCUAUUGUCCUUAUUUUACUUUGAAAGUUGUUUUUUUCAUAUAUCUGACUAUGAGUUUGACUUCCUCUUCUGUGGUUGUGUUUCUUUUCUGCCAGUGUUUCUAGUUUUUCUCAAGUUCCUUAUCUUCCCUGAUUACCCUGUGUGUAUAAAUAGUCCUGUCCUUCUCCUCAGUAUUUCUUGUAGUUGCUAUAUAUCCACCCUGUGUGCUCCUUGUUUUUCUCUCACUCCCUAUGGAUUUUUUUUUUUUUUUUGUCUGCCUUUAAGUCCUGCAUUUAGGGAUUAUAUCCACAGCACAUGACAGUCAUGCGUCUUACACGGAAAAUAUAUCAACUUUAUCCAUAGAAGAAUAUAAAGUUGAUAUAUUAGGUAAAUAUCAAUGGAUGAAUAUUCUUACUUUUGGUGUGGUUGUUGUUGAUGCUGUUGUUGUUUUAAAAAAACAACAACAACAAAAACAAACAACUUUAGAUGUAGACAGUUUUUAAAAGUUUUGUUCAAAAUAGUCAAAAUAGUCAGAAAUGUCAGUGGUGUUUACUUAUUUACUCAGUGCAGAUGCAUUAAGACUUGUG